UCGCCUUUUGCAUUAAAUAAUAGGUCUGGCCUGCCCACUGAAUGUUGAAGGGCCGCGGUAUUUUGACCGUGCAAAGGUAGCAUAAUCAUUAGUCUUUUAAUUGAAGGCUGGAAUGAAUGGUUGGAUGAGGUAGAAGCUGUCUCCUAAAAGAUAAUUAAAACUUGACUUUUCAGUUAAAAGGCUGAGAUAAGUUUAAAGGACGAGAAGACCCUAUAGAUCUUUAUAAAAGUAUUUAAAUUUUAUAGAAAGAGGUAUAAAUUUAAAAACUUUUAUUUUGUUGGGGCGACAAGGAAAUAAAAUAACUUUCUUUUAUAGAACAUUGAUUAAUGAAUUUAAGAUCCGUUAUUGACGAUUAAAAGAAUAAGUUACCUUAGGGAUAACAGCAUAAUCUUCUCUGAGAGUUCUAAUCGACGGGAGGGGUUGUGACCUCGAUGUUGGACUAAGGGUAAUCUCAGGUGCAGCAGUCUGAGAUUUGGGUCUGUUCGACCCUUAGAACCUUACAU
rnacentral:rRNA from 1 species